rnacentral:lncRNA from 1 species
AUCGCGCUACUGCACUCCAGCCUGGGCGACAGAGUAAGACUCCAUCUCAGAAAGAAAGAAAGAAAUACGGAACUAACUUGUGAUAUGUUCUGGAAUCAAAAGUACUCUUAUGAUAAAACAGGUAUGAAAGGGAAACUGGUCUCUUGUUUCUGCCCUUACUUCUACAAUCUCCCCACCCCGCAGGGUGCUGCUUUCAAAGUCAGAGGUGUCCCUCUUC